UACGGGGGGGGCAAGCGUUGUUCGGAAUUACUGGGCGUAAAGGGUCUGUAGGUGGCUUGCUAAGUCAGACGUGAAAUCCCUCAGCUUAACUGGGGAACUGCGUCUGAGACUGGCGAGCUUGAGGGCAGGAGAGGAACGCGGAAUUCCAGGUGUAGCGGUGAAAUGCGUAGAUAUCUGGAGGAACACCGGUGGCGAAGGCGGCGUUCUGGACUGCAACUGACACUGAGAAACGAAAGCCAGGGUAGCAAACGGG
rnacentral:rRNA from 1 species